rnacentral:rRNA from 1 species
UACAGAGGCCACGAGCGUUAGGCGGAAUCACUGGGCUUAAAGCGUGUGUAGGUGGAUGGGUAAGUACCUUGUGAAAUCCCACGGCUCAACCGUGGAACUGCUUGGUAUACUGCCCGUCUUGAGGCACUCAGGGGCGAGCGGAACAAAUGGUGGAGCGGUGAAAUGCGUAGAUAUCAUUUGGAACGCCAAUGGUGAAGACAGCUCGCUGGGGGUGUACUGACACUGAGACACGAAAGCCAGGGGAGCAAACGGG